rnacentral:tRNA from 1 species
UCUUCCGUGGCGCAGUUGGCAGCGCAACAGACUGUUAAUCUGGAGGUCGGUGGUUCGAGCCCACCGGGGAGAG